GACGAACGCUGGCGGCGUGCUUAACACAUGCAAGUCGAACGGAAAGGCCCUGCUUUUGUGGGGUGCUAGAGUGGCGAACGGGUGAGUAACACGUGAGUAACCUGCCCUUGACUUUGGGAUAACUUCAGGAAACUGGGGCUAAUACCGGAUAGGAGCUCCUGCUGCAUGGUGGGGGUUGGAAAGUUUCGGCGGAUGGGGAUGGACUGGGGGCUUAUCAGCUUGUUGGUGGGGUAGUGGCUUACCAAGGCUUUGACGGGUAGCCGGCCUGGGAGGGUGACCGGGCACAUGGGGACUGAGGUACGGACCAGACUCCAACGGGAGGCAGCAGUGGAGAGUAUUGCACAAUGGGCGGAAGCCUGAUGCGGCAGCGCCGCGUGCGGGAUGACGGCCUUCGGGUUGUAAACCGCUUUCGCCUGUGACGAAGCGUGAGUGACGGUAAUGGGUGAAGAAGCACCGGCUAACUACGUG
rnacentral:rRNA from 1 species